rnacentral:rRNA from 1 species
GUUUAUUUGGAGUUAUAAAUGAUUUGGCCUGCCCCCUGAUUGAAAUAUUAAAGGGCCGCAGUAUUUUAACUGUGCAAAGGUAGCAUAAUCAUUAGGUUUUUAAUUAGAAUCUUGUAUGAAUGGUCGGACAAAAGAGAAGCUCUCUUUGUAUUAAUUUUGAAUUUAACUUUUAAGUGAAAAGGCUUAAAUGUACUAAAGGGACGAUAAGACCCUAUAAAACUUUACAUUAUAAUUAUAUUUUAGUGAAUUUAUAAAUAAAGAUUUAAUUUGAUUAUUUGUUGGGCUGGGGAGGUGUAAAUAAAUAUUAUUUUAACUGUUUAAUAACAAUACAAUUAUUAAUGGGUAAAUGUAAAAGAUCCUUUGUUAAAGAUUAAUAAAUUAAGUUACUUUAGGGAUAACAGCGUAAUUUCUUUUGAGAGUUCUUAUCGAAAAAGAAGAUUGUGACCUCGAUGUUGAAUUAAAAUAUUCUAUAUAAUGAAGAAGUUAUAUAAGAAGGUCUGUUCGACCUUUGAAAUUUUACAUGAUUUGAGUUCAAACCGGUGUGAG